UACGUAGGGUGCGAGCGUUGUCCGGAAUUAUUGGGCGUAAAGGGCUCGUAGGCGGUUUGUCGCGUCGGGAGUGAAAACUCAGGGCUUAACCCUGAGCCUGCUUUCGAUACGGGCAGACUAGAGGUAUGCAGGGGAGAACGGAAUUCCUGGUGUAGCGGUGAAAUGCGCAGAUAUCAGGAGGAACACCGGUGGCGAAGGCGGUUCUCUGGGCAUGACCUGACGCUGAGGAGCGAAAGUGUGGGGAGCGAACAGG
rnacentral:rRNA from 1 species